rnacentral:rRNA from 1 species
AGAGACAGCAGUCGCCGCGGUAAUACGAGGGGGGCAAGCGUUGUUCGGAAUUAUUGGGCGUAAAGGGUGCGUAGGCGGUCUGAUAAGUCUGAUGUGAAAUCUAUGGGCUCAACCCAUAGUCUGCAUCGGAAACUGUCAGGCUUGAGGAUGGGGGAGGUGAGUGGAAUUUCCGGUGUAGCGGUGAAAUGCGUAGAUAUCGGAAGGAACACCUGUGGCGAAAGCGGCUCACUGGACCAUUUCUGACGCUGAUGACGAAAGCUAGGGGAGCAAAUGGGAUUAGAGACCCCGGUAGUCCCUGUCUCUUAUACA